rnacentral:rRNA from 1 species
CCUACGGGGGUCAGCAGUGAGGAAUAUUGGUCAAUGGCCGGAAGGCUGAACCAGCCAAGCCGCGUGAAGGACGAAGGUGCCAAGCAUUGUAAACUUCUUUUGUCAAGGGACAAAAUCAGGCUCGAGAGCCUGACCGAGGGUACGUGAAGAAAAAGCAUCGGCAAACCCCGCGCCAGCAGCCGCGGUAAUACGGAGGAGGCGAGGGUUAUCCGGAUUUAUUGGGUUAAAAGGGGGCGUAGGCGGGCUGUUAAGUCAGCGGUAAAAGCCCGGGGCACAAGCCCGGCGAGCCGUUGAAACUGGCUGUCUUGAGUGGUCGAGAGGUAUGCGGAAUGCGCGGUGUAGCGGUGAAAUGCUUAGAUAUUGCGCAGAACUCCGAUUGCGAAGGCAGCAUACCGGCGGCGAUCUGACGCUGAGGCACGAAAGCGUGGGUAUCGAACAGGAUUAGAUACCCGAGUAGUC